UACUUAUCAAUCUUCUUCCAACGCGCAACGGGAACAAAAUUGAUUAUCAAGCGUUUCUUGCUCUCUCCCAAGUCCCAAACCUUGAAACGCUGCAAAUUUUUUCUUUAAAUUGGUUUCAAUGGUUACUCAAUUCUUCAGUUCAUUCUCAUCCAUCAGCCAAUCUUUCUCCUCUCUAUGUUUCUGUUAUCCUAUGGUGGUCAUACGAAUUUUUCAGCUUUCGAUCGAUGUAGGCUGAGGUACAAAUCAAAAUAGGACCUGCCCUGCCGAUGAGCACUCGUUCUGCAGCAGCCAAAGCAUCGGAUCCAGUAUGCUUAGACGAUUGAAGUGACGCUCAUCUAAUGACUAAUGGUCAAGAAAUUCUGUCCGGAGAUGUUGCCGAAUGAGGCAUAUGAAACAGAUAGGCCUUGGACAUCCAUUCCAAUUAUGGAGUUUGCAAAGAAAAUGGAUAUGUUUCCAAGUGUUAUGGUUGCAUAUAGGAUUUUAUUGACUAUACCGGUGAUGGUAGCAUCCGCCGUAAGAAGUUUUUCAAAAUUAAAAUUAUUAAAGUCUUAUCUGCGGACUACCAUGACUCAAGAUAGGCUGAAUGGAUUAGCUAUUUUAACCAUUGAAAGAAAUAUGUUGGUAAAUGUUGACUAUGAGAAGAUAAUUGAUGAUUUUGCUUCAAGAAAUGCAAUAAGGCAUCAUUUUAGAUGAUUUGUAAUCUUUUUUAUAUGGGGUUUUGGUUUUAUGUCCCCCCCCCCAUUGUAUAAUGUUUCUUUAUAUAAUAAAAUCGGCGUGGGGAUGAGCCGCCCAGCUUGACUGGGUUCCAAACCCCUAAAAAAAGAAUUUAGAAUAUGA